UGGGGAAUAUUGGACAAUGGGCGAAAGCCUGAUCCAGCCAUGCCGCGUGUGUGAAGAAGGUCUUCGGAUUGUAAUGUACUUUAAGUUGGGAGGAAGGGCAGUAAGCGAAUACCUUGCUGUUUUGACGUUACCGACAGAAUAAGCACCGGCUAACUCUGUGCCAGCAGCCGCGGUAAUACAGAGGGUGCAAGCGUUAAUCGGAAUUACUGGGCGUAAAGCGCGGGUCGGUGGUUCGGUAAGUUGAAUGUGAAAGCCCCGGGCUCAACCUGAGAACUGCAUCCAAAACGGGAGAGCUAGAGUAGGGCAGAGGGGGGUGGAAUUUCCUGUGUAGCGGUGAAAUGCGUAGAUAUAGGAAGGAACAACAAUGGCGAAGGCGACCACCUGGGCUCAUACUGACACUGAGGUGCGAAAGCGUGGGGAGCAAACAGG
rnacentral:rRNA from 1 species